AACCCCUAUUUUUUAGUUGCCAUCAGGUUAAGCUGGGCACUCUAAAGAGACUGCCGUCGAUAAGGCGGAGGAAGGUGGGGACGACGUCAAGUCAUCAUGGCCCUUAUGUCUAGGGCUACACACGUGCUACAAUGGGUUAUACAGAGGGCAGCUAGCUCGCGAGAGUCUGCGAAUCCCUUAAAGUAAUCCUCAGUUCGGAUUGCAGUCUGCAACUCGACUGCAUGAAGUUGGAAUCGCUAGUAAUCGUGGAUCAGCCAAGCCGCGGUGAAUACGUUCCCGGGCCUU
rnacentral:rRNA from 1 species